AUUGAACGCUGGCGGCAGGCCUAACACAUGCAAGUCGAGCGGAUGAAGGGAGCUUGCUCCUGGAUUCAGCGGCGGACGGGUGAGUAAUGCCUAGGAAUCUGCCUGGUAGUGGGGGAUAACGUCCGGAAACGGGCGCUAAUACCGCAUACGUCCUGAGGGAGAAAGUGGGGGAUCUUCGGACCUCACGCUAUCAGAUGAGCCUAGGUCGGAUUAGCUAGUUGGUGGGGUAAAGGCCUACCAAGGCGACGAUCCGUAACUGGUCUGAGAGGAUGAUCAGUCACACUAGAACUGAGACACGGUCCAGACUCCUACGGGAGGCAGCAGUGGGGAAUAUUGGACAAUGGGCGAAAGCCUGAUCCAGCCAUGCCGCGUGUGUGAAGAAGGUCUUCGGGUUGUAAAGCACUUUAAGUUGGGAGGAAGGGCAGUAAGUUAAUACCUUGCUGUUUUGACGUUACCAACAGAAUAAGCACCGGCUAACUUCGUG
rnacentral:rRNA from 1 species